AUAUCCCAGCACCUGGGGGAGAAGAAGUUCAAUGAAUGAUCAUGACAAUGGCUAACAUUUACUGUCCAUUUACUAUGUGCCAGGGAAAGAUACCAGAGCGCGGGGCCCCAGAUCUGUCUGUCCUCAAAGCCUGUUCUUCUGGCCGCUGUUCAUCACACCAGCUACAGUUUUGUCAAGUCCUACAUGAGAAACCAGGCUCAGAGAGGUGAAGUCACUUGCCCAAGAUCACACAGCAAGUAAAUGGUAGACCUGGCAUUCAAAUCCAGAGCCUAUCAUUUGGAUUUGCAGAUGAUCUUUGACAGGUAAGCCAGUCAUUUUCAAGAAGGAGGACAUCAAAUCAUUUAGGGAGAUUUUUCAAGCUAGACCCAUCUUUCCUAGCACCCUAUCAUUAUGACCCUCCCCUCCACCUCCCAGUUAAGAACCACACUUCUAGGUCAUUUCACAGUGGACAUAUUAAAGCCAGGACCAGCCCAGCUGACUAAAAUUUAACUCUCCUGGUUUAAGACCAGGGCUUUCUUCCUCUUGACUACACUGCCUUCUAACAGAAGUCCUGAGCAGCUCUUGUUUUGAGUGAGGGUGUUCAUGAAUCUGUGUCUUUAGAGCCCUGGGUGAGGCUAAGUGCAUACAGGAGCCAGCAGACAGUCUGUAAAAAUAGCUGGGCUGGCAGAGAACCUAUUCUUCAUCUACAGAGAGUGGUUGAAACUCAACUCCAGCCACAAUAGCCAUGCCAGAGUGUUGGCCCAUUGUUGCCAGAUGUGGUGUUUCAACAGAAGUCAAGAAUCUAGAGUUACAAGUGAAGUCCUUUUUUAUGGCCACACUGUGCAGCAUGUGGUAUCUUAGUUCCCGGACCAGGGAUUGAACCCACACACCGUGCAGUGGCAGCACGAAGUCUUAACCACUGGACCUCCAGGGAAGUCCCUGUCAAGUGAAGUCUUCUAAUUUUUAAAUGUUGACAAUAAAUUCAAACACAAA